AAAAACAAAAAGACACAAAGACAAAAAUAGAAAGAGCCUCCAUUAAGCAAGUAGAUGAAACAUCACUAUCAACUUCCAGCAACACAGAAGGAAGCAUUGCUGGAAAAUUGGUGGCGAACAGAAAGAGCUGGAGAAUCACGAUUCGUGGGAGGAGAGGAGCCUUUAAUACUUGCAAAUUCUAGGUAAUCUUCAAGAUCUAAGUUUUGGUGGGUGCUGUAAAGUUGGAAGAAAGAAAUGCGUCAGCCAACAUAUUAGCAAGUCGAAUUUGUGCUGCAGUUGUGAGAUGAAUACCAUCAGGAUUCAAUGGUAAUCCGUUUGCGUCAACCUUCACUGCAUUUGGAAGUUCAACAUCUAUUUGAGCUUGUCUAACUAUAUCUACAAACUUUCCUUUAAACCAUGGACUUGGAACAUGUAGGAUUACCUGUAAAAUCACUUCAAUUAGAAUAUCUGACAUAAAUUUUAUUAUAAAAUCAAACACCAAGUAUCAUUAUAAUAAUAUCUUCAUCGAUAUAAUAUAA